rnacentral:tRNA from 1 species
GGUAAGAUGGCCGAGGGAAAGGCGGUGGUUUGUAGCUCCAAUAACAGAGGUUUGAGUCCUCUUCUUACCA